rnacentral:rRNA from 1 species
CCUACGGGAGGCUGCAGUGGGGAAUAUUGGACAAUGGGGGGAACCCUGAUCCAGCCAUGCCGCGUGUGUGAAGAAGGCCCUCGGGUUGUAAAGCACUUUCAGUGAGGAAGAACGCCUGGUGGUUAAUACCCAUCAGGAAAGACAUCACUCACAGAAGAAGCACCGGCUAACUCCGUGCCAGCAGCCGCGGUAAUACGGAGGGUGCGAGCGUUAAUCGGAAUUACUGGGCGUAAAGCGCGCGUAGGUGGCUUGAUAAGCCGGUUGUGAAAGCCCCGGGCUCAACCUGGGAACGGCAUCCGGAACUGUCAAGCUAGAGUGCAGGAGAGGAAGGUAGAAUUCCCGGUGUAGCGGUGAAAUGCGUAGAGAUCGGGAGGAAUACCAGUGGCGAAGGCGGCCUUCUGGACUGACACUGACACUGAGGUGCGAAAGCGUGGGUAGCAAACAGGAUUAGAUACCUGUGUAGUC